GUAACAAGGUUUCCGUAGGUGAACCUGCGGAAGGAUCAUUGUCGAAACCUGCCCAGCAGAACGACCCGUGAACUUGUCUUAACAAACGGGGGCCUGCGGGCCUCGUGCUCGUGCGCCCCCAACCGCGUCGAGUUGGGUGUCGGUUGUAUGCUCUUGUGUGCAUCCGCCCCCUCGCGGCGCAUUAACGAACCCCGGCGCGAACAGCGCCAAGGAAAUCUUAACGAGAGAGCUCGCUCCCGUCGCCCCGGACACGGUGCGCUGCGGGAUGCGUCGCCUUCUUUCAUUAUCUAUAACGACUCUCGGCAACGGAUAUCUCGGCUCUCGCAUCGAUGAAGAACGUAGCGAAAUGCGAUACUUGGUGUGAAUUGCAGAAUCCCGUGAACCAUCGAGUCUUUGAACGCAAGUUGCGCCCUAAGCCAUUAGGCCGAGGGCACGUCUGCCUGGGUGUCACGCAUCGUUGCCCCCUCCCCAGAUCUUCCGAUCUCGUGGCGGCGGGCGGAGAAUGGCCUCCCAUGUGCUUGUGCACGUGGUUGGCCCAAAUCCGAGUUCUCGGUGACGCUUCCUGCGACAAUCGGUGGUGUUUUGAAAAAGAACCUAGUGAUCCCGUCGUGCGGUUGCGUUCUCCUGCGUACGAACUCUUUGACCCUCGAGGGCGGGCGAACGCCUGCUCGCAUCGCGACCCCAGGUCAGGCGGGAUUACCCGCU
rnacentral:rRNA from 1 species